UCUUAACCUCGCGCUGGGAAACAGGAAAGAUAAGGAGCUCAAGUAUGGGAUUCUUGGCUCUGUGUUGUGAUGCGAAUGUAGAAGAAAACUACUGCAACUAUGAUCACCAUGAAUACACCAAGAAUCACUUGUCCACCAGUUGCAGACUUAUCAGGAUGAUGCGAUGCCAUACGUCUGAUCCCUAGAUUUCCGGCUAUAAUCCUACCUUCUGAUGGAGCUGGACUUGGAACAGGUAGCAGCAUGAAUCCUAACAUCCACAGAUUGGCCAACACAAUGCAAAAGAGAAGAAAACGAGCCAUAAAACUUCAUUGUACUGCUAAACCAUGCUAUUUGGCUCUGCUCUGAAAGGAGCUGAUUUUGGCUACUUCCCUGCAGCACUUCUUGACGCUAAGGGGCUUAGGUUACUCAUUAGGCAGCAACUAUCAUUGUUCUUUUUUGGUGUUUUUAUUGCUUUCUUGUCAAUUAAGGCUGUGGGAUUUGAGUGUUUAUUUGUAAUAUUUCUAAGGAAGUUGGUAAAGAGUAAAUCAUUAUGAAAUUUCCAGUA